AUGAAUAUAUUUCCAGAAAUAAAAUUUGAAUUAAACUAUGUAUGGUCGUCAGAAGAGGAUGCCGGGAAGAACAAUUGAUACUUCCGCGCACUCCUGAGGAUCAUUCUGGGUCAAGAAAAGAACAUACUGUGAAGUGGCGCCAUCCACUGUUCACAUGGUGAACUGAUCCACUGAACGACUAUUCUCAAAUGAACCACAAGGAGGCGAUCAAAGACCAAUAAUACCAACUGUACCGGACGGGCUGAGCUCAUAAAUGGCCUCUCACGAACAGGCGUCAACACACACCACAACAUGCUGGACUUCUGUGUCAACCUGGCCAUCGCCACACCUUGGUCUUUUAACCGCAACAAACAAACAGACAAAAUAGCAGUGUUCACUACGCAAGGCUUGAUUGGUUGAAAGCCCUCUGCAUUUUACGCACAUGCUGGAGUUAGCUGUGUCAGCCGGGGCAAGGACAGGCAUGCUGUUAAACAAGAGCUUCAUGUCACAUUCAUGAACGUGGACACACACAGGGAGAGGGAGAGGGAGAAACUGCUGUGACCUCUCACCUAUUUCUCCAACCGGCUUUGGAAACUACGGGAAUCCUGUGAAGCCAGGCAACUUCAGUGAAGGAAAAACUAUAACUUCUUUCUAGUCCAUGAGCAGUGGCAUUCAAGCCCCAAUUAUUUGUGAAUGAUGUGGUCGGGAUCACAUCCAUUAAAAGAUGUCUUGACUUGUAUUUAUUGUACAUGAUUGGUUGCUGACAUGGAAAUACAUGCUACAAAGACACGAUCU